rnacentral:rRNA from 1 species
GGUUAAGCGACUAAGCGUACACGGUGGAUGCCCUGGCAGUCAGAGGCGAUGAAGGACGUGCUAAUCUGCGAUAAGCGUCGGUAAGGUGAUAUGAACCGUUAUAACCGGCGAUUUCCGAAUGGGGAAACCCAGUGUGAUUCGUCACACUAUCAUUAACUGAAUCCAUAGGUUAAUGAGGCGAACCGGGGGAACUGAAACAUCUAAGUACCCCGAGGAAAAGAAAUCAACCGAGAUUCCCCCAGUAGCGGCGAGCGAACGGGGAGCAGCCCAGAGCCUGAAUCAGUGUGUGUGUUAGUGGAAGCGUCUGGAAAGGCGCGCGAUACAGGGUGACAGCCCCGUACACAAAAAUGCACAUGCUGUGAGCUCGAUGAGUAGGGCGGGACACGUGGUAUCCUGUCUGAAUAUGGGGGGACCAUCCUCCAAGGCUAAAUACUCCUGACUGACCGAUAGUGAACCAGUACCGUGAGGGAAAGGCGAAAAGAACCCCGGCGAGGGGAGUGAAAAAGAACCUGAAACCGUGUACGUACAAGCAGUGGGAGCACAGAGCAAUCUGUGUGACUGCGUACCUUUUGUAUAAUGGGUCAGCGACUUAUAUUCUGUAGCAAGGUUAACCGAAUAGGGGAGCCGAAGGGAAACCGAGUCUUAACUGGGCGUUAAGUUGCAGGGUAUAGACCCGAAACCCGGUGAUCUAGCCAUGGGCAGGUUGAAGGUUGGGUAACACUAACUGGAGGACCGAACCGACUAAUGUUGAAAAAUUAGCGGAUGACUUGUGGCUGGGGGUGAAAGGCCAAUCAAACCGGGAGAUAGCUGGUUCUCCCCGAAAGCUAUUUAGGUAGCGCCUCGUGAAUUCAUCUCCGGGGGUAGAGCACUGUUUCGGCAAGGGGGUCAUCCCGACUUACCAACCCGAUGCAAACUGCGAAUACCGGAGAAUGUUAUCACGGGAGACACACGGCGGGUGCUAACGUCCGUCGUGAAGAGGGAAACAACCCAGACCGCCAGCUAAGGUCCCAAAGUCAUGGUUAAGUGGGAAACGAUGUGGGAAGGCCCAGACAGCCAGGAUGUUGGCUUAGAAGCAGCCAUCAUUUAAAGAAAGCGUAAUAGCUCACUGGUCGAGUCGGCCUGCGCGGAAGAUGUAACGGGGCUAAACCAUGCACCGAAGCUGCGGCAGCGACGCUUAUGCGUUGUUGGGUAGGGGAGCGUUCUGUAAGCCUGUGAAGGUGUACUGUGAGGUAUGCUGGAGGUAUCAGAAGUGCGAAUGCUGACAUAAGUAACGAUAAAGCGGGUGAAAAGCCCGCUCGCCGGAAGACCAAGGGUUCCUGUCCAACGUUAAUCGGGGCAGGGUGAGUCGACCCCUAAGGCGAGGCCGAAAGGCGUAGUCGAUGGGAAACAGGUUAAUAUUCCUGUACUUGGUGUUACUGCGAAGGGGGGACGGAGAAGGCUAUGUUGGCCGGGCGACGGUUGUCCCGGUUUAAGCGUGUAGGCUGGUUUUCCAGGCAAAUCCGGAAAAUCAAGGCUGAGGCGUGAUGACGAGGCACUACGGUGCUGAAGCAACAAAUGCCCUGCUUCCAGGAAAAGCCUCUAAGCAUCAGGUAACAUCAAAUCGUACCCCAAACCGACACAGGUGGUCAGGUAGAGAAUACCAAGGCGCUUGAGAGAACUCGGGUGAAGGAACUAGGCAAAAUGGUGCCGUAACUUCGGGAGAAGGCACGCUGAUAUGUAGGUGAAGUCCCUCGCGGAUGGAGCUGAAAUCAGUCGAAGAUACCAGCUGGCUGCAACUGUUUAUUAAAAACACAGCACUGUGCAAACACGAAAGUGGACGUAUACGGUGUGACGCCUGCCCGGUGCCGGAAGGUUAAUUGAUGGGGUCAGCGCAAGCGAAGCUCUUGAUCGAAGCCCCGGUAAACGGCGGCCGUAACUAUAACGGUCCUAAGGUAGCGAAAUUCCUUGUCGGGUAAGUUCCGACCUGCACGAAUGGCGUAAUGAUGGCCAGGCUGUCUCCACCCGAGACUCAGUGAAAUUGAACUCGCUGUGAAGAUGCAGUGUACCCGCGGCAAGACGGAAAGACCCCGUGAACCUUUACUAUAGCUUGACACUGAACAUUGAGCCUUGAUG